CACAAAAAUAUCCGCCAGAGAACUACGAGCAAAACGCUUAAAACUCUAAGGACUUGGCGGUGCUUAAACCCCCCUAGAGGAGCCUGUUCUAUAAUCGAUAAUCCACGAUUUACCCUACCAUCUCUUGCCAAUACCGCCUAUAUACCACCGUCAUUAGCCUACCCUAUGAAGGAUAUAAGAGUAAGCAAAAUAGCUAACAACAGCUAACAAGUCAGGUCAAGGUGUAGCUAAUUGAGAUGGAAGAAAUGGGCUACAUUUUCUAAAUUAGAAAUAAUCUCACGGAAAGAACUAUGAAACAAGUCCUAUAAGCAGGAUUUGGCAGUAGACAUACAU
rnacentral:rRNA from 1 species